GCGGUUGUGGUGAAGUGGUUAACACAACGGUUUGUGGCACCGUCAUUCGUGGGUUCGAUUCCCAUCAACCGCCCCA
rnacentral:tRNA from 1 species